CCCUGGUUAGCUCAGUUGGUAGAGCGCUCCACUUGUAAUGGAGAGGCGGAUUUUUUCGGUCGCUCACCAGUCA
rnacentral:tRNA from 1 species